AGUGGCGGACGGGUGAGUAACGCGUGAGAAUCUGCCUUGGGGUCGGGGACAACCACUGGAAACGGUGGCUAAUACCGGAUAAGCCGAUUGGUGAAAGAUUUAUUGCCCGAAGAGGAGCUCGCGUCUGAUUAGCUAGUUGGUGAGGUAAGAGCUCACCAAGGCAGCGAUCAGUAGCUGGUCUGAGAGGACGAUCAGCCACACUGGGACUGAGACACGGCCCAGACUCCUACGGGAGGCAGCAGUGGGGAAUUUUCCGCAAUGGGCGAAAGCCUGACGGAGCAAGACCGCGUGAGGGAGGAAGGCUCUUGGGUUGUAAACCUCUUUUCUCAGGGAAGAAGCUCUGACGGUACCUGAGGAAUCAGCCUCGGCUAACUCCGUGCCAGCAGCCGCGGUAAUACGGAGGAGGCAAGCGUUAUCCGGAAUUAUUGGGCGUAAAGCGUCCGCAGGUGGCGAUUCAAGUCUGCUGUCAAAGCACGGGGCUUAACUCCGUAAAGGCAGUGGAAACUGAAUAGCUAGAGUGCCGUAGGGGUAGAGGGAAUCCCGGUGUAGCGGUGAAAUGCGUAGAGAUCGGGAAGAACAUCGGUGGCGAAAGCGCUCUACUGGACGGCAACUGACACUCAGGGACGAAAGCUAGGGGAGCGAAUGGGAUUAGAUACCCC
rnacentral:rRNA from 1 species